rnacentral:rRNA from 1 species
CCUACGGGGGCAGCAGUGAGGAAUAUUGGUUAAUGGGCGCGAGCCUGAACCAGCCAAGUAGCGUGAAGGAUGACUGCCCUACGGGUUGUUAACUUCUUUUAUAAAGGAAUAAAGUGAGGCACGGGUGCCUUUUUGUAUGUACUUUAUGAAUAAGGAUCGGCUAACUCCGUGCCAGCAGCCGCGGUAAUACGGAGGAUCCGAGCGUUUUCCGGAUUUGUUGGGGUUAAAGGGAGCGUAGAUGGGUGGUUAAGUCAGUUGUGAAAGUUUGCGGCUCAAACGUCAAAUUGCAAUUGAUACUGGCAGCCUUGAGUACAGGUGAGGUAGGCGGAAUUCGUGGUGUAGCGGUGAAAUGCUUAGAUAUCACGAAGAACUCCGAUUGCGAAGGCAGCCUACUAGCCUGCCACUGACAUUGAUGCUCGAAAGUGUGGGUAUCGAACAGGAUUAGAUACCCGAGUAGUC